GCCUCGGGGGUAAAAUCAGGCCCACUCCCUCCUCGCUCGAAAAAUCCAACUCGCUCGAAUCGAAACCUAAGGUUAGGAUUCGCCGAGCCGCCGUCUCGCCGUCGGCGCCAUGUACAACGGCAUCGGGCUGCAGAGCGCGCGCGGGUCCGGCACGAAUGGGCACGUCCAGACGAACAAGUUCUUCAUCCAGCCCCGGACCGGCGGCCCGCCGCCCAAAGCGCCGCUCCACAGCCACGACGACGGCGCCGGUGGGAUGCGGAAACCGAACAAGGAGAUCCUGGAGCACGACCGGAGGCGGCAGGUCGAGCUGCGGCUGGUCGAGCUGAGGGACGCCCUCGAGGAGCAGGGCUACACGGAAGCCGAGAUCGAGGAGCGCCUCGAGGAGGCGCGCAAGCAAGCCGAACUGGAGGCUGCCGGCGGCGGCGCCGCGGGUGCAGCACCGCGUCCAGGCGAAGGGUUCACGGGCACGCAGAGCCACCAUGUCGCAGCACGCAAGGAGAAGAAGCUCGAGGCGAUGAGGGCUGCUCUUGGGCUAGAUGAUGAGGUUGGACAGAAGAAGAGUUCUCAAGUAGACAGUGAUCCGGAGUCUGGGGAGCUUGUACCUGGGAAGGCUGGAUUCUGAAGAGUAUGUUGGACAUUGAUGUUCAGAACGACAGGAAGGCUUUCAAGUUUCAAGGAUGGUAAAAAGCAUAGAGAAGGAAAAAAGGGAAUGACAACAGCACAAGUUCUAGGAAGAGUAAGCAUGGGUAUGAUUCAGAAGAUGAUUCUGAGACUGGCCAUGAUGAUGAGAAAAGGGGGAAAGAAACACAUGAAGAAAUCCUUCUUAGAUGGAGAUGUUGAUCCUGUGAUUGUUCAUAAGAAGGCAACUAUAUGAUGCACAGAUAUCAUGAUAUGAUUGACAGAGACCAAGAGGACGGUGCGGAUUGAUGUUAUCUUCAUUUAUAUUUGUGACAGUGCCUCCUUGCAACCAGCACGUUUAUGCAAGCUAUCAGCGUGUUGCUCUGAAAGACUGAAACUUCGGCGUCACCAUAAUUACUGCUCUAAUAAUGCUUGGUUGCCGUCAGCGUAGUCUAGGGACCAAUCAGUGUAUCCCAAUUAUCAGCUACCAAAAUGAUAUACAUCAUGUAUAUAUCUAGUUUCAGGUAACAAGCAUAGAUGAAUUACUGUGUGAUUGGAAUUCUGUACUCAGUAUUUGACAUGCCAAUAACAAAGAGGUUUACGGA